AUUGAACGCUAGCGGGAUGCUUUACACAUGCAAGUCGAACGAGUUGCGGACGUGUGAGUAAUAUAUCGGAACGUGCCCAGUAGCGGGGGAUAACUACUCGACAGAGUGGCUAAUACCGCAUACUAUUGUAGCUGCCGAUAUCGGAUUAGCUAGUUGGUGGGGAAAAGGAUACCCAAUGCAACGAUCCUUAGCUGGUUUGAGAGGACGACCAGCCACACUGGGACUGAGACACGGCCAAGACUCCUACGGGAGGCAGCAGUGGGGAAUUUUGGACAAUGGGGGAAACCCCGAUCCAGCCAUCCCGCGUGUAUGAGAAGGCCUUCGGGUUGUAAAGUACUUUUGGCAGAGAAGCGGUAUCUGCAGAAUAAGCACCGGCUGACAACGUGCCAGCAGCCGCGGUAAUUC
rnacentral:rRNA from 1 species